CACUUUAAAGGAGGCAGCAGGCGCGCAAUUACCCAAUCCUGACUCAGGGAGGUAGUGACAAGAAAUAACAAUAAACCGGCUUAUGCCGGUUUAAUUGGAAUGAGUACAAUUUAAACAUCUUAACGAGGAACAAUUGGAGGGCAAGUCUGGUGCCAGCAGCCGCGGUAAUUCCAGCUCCAAUAGCGUAUACUAAAGUUGUUGCAGUUAAAAAGCUCGUAGUUGGAUUUCUGUGGGGACGGAGCGGCCGGCCGCACAUCGCGGUUCGAGCUAGCGCUUUCCCUACAUCCUGCCGCGAACCGUGCUACCAUUAGUUUGGUGGCGCCGGGGAUCGGCUCGAUUACUUUGAGAAAAAUAGAGUGUUCAAAGCAGGCCACAUGCCUUGAAUAAGUUAGCAUGGAAUAAUAACUAAGGACUUCGGUUCUAUUUUGUUGGUGUUCGGGACUGAAGUAAUGAUUGAUAGGGACAGUUGGGGCGGUCUGUAUUCCAAAGCGAGAGGUGAAAUUCUUAGACCUUCGGAAGACAAACAGCUGCGAAAGCGUUCCGCAAGGAUGUUCCCUUUGAUCAAGAACGAAAGUUGGGGGAUCGAAGACGAUCAGAUACCGUCGUAGUCUCAACUAUAAACUAUACCAGCUAGGGAUCGGCCAACGUUAUUUUAUACCGACUUGGUCGGCACCUUAUGAGAAAUCAAAGCAUCUGGGUUCCGGGGGGAGUAUGGUCGCAAGGCUGAAACUUAAAGGAAUUGACGGAAGGGCACCACCAGCCGUGGAGCCUGUGGCUUAAUUUGACUCAACACGGGAAAACUUACCAGGUCCAGACAUAGUAAGGAUUGACAGAUUGAUAGCUCUUUCUUGAUUCUGUGGGUGGUGGUGCAUGGCCGUUCUUAGUUGGUGGAGUGAUUUGUCUGGUUAAUUCCGUUAACGAACGAGACCCCAGCCUGCUAAAUAGCGCGCGUGAGCUUUGCUCGCGGCGAGCUUCUUAGAGGGACUAUGAUGCGCGAUAGCACAUGGAAGUUUGGGGCAAUAACAGGUCUGUGAUGCCCUUAGAUGUUCUGGGCCGCACACGGGCUACACUGGCGCCUGCAACGAGCAUAUCAGCUGGCCCGAGAGGGUCUUGGCUAAUCUUUUGAACCGGCGCCGUGCUUGGGAUUGACCUUUGCAAUUGUUGGUCAUGCAACGAGGAAUGCCUUGUAAACGCGAGUCAUCAGCUCGCAUUGAAUACGUCCCUGCCCUUUGUACACACCGCCCGUCGCUCCUACCGAUGAAUGUUCCGAUGAAAUUUUCGGAGAGCACCUGUGAACUUGGCUCCGCCUUGCGAACGGGAGGCUCAAAGUCACAUAAAUCUGAGCAUUGAG
rnacentral:rRNA from 1 species